CCAAUAGCGUAUAUUAAAGUUGUUGCAGUUAAAAAGCUCGUAGUUGAGUUUCGGGGUCAGUAGGUUGGUCAUGCCUCCGGUAUGUACUGGUCUCACUGAUUCCUCCUUCCUGAUGAGCCGUAAUGCCAUUAAUUUGGUGUUGCGGGGAAUCUGGACUGUUACUUUGAAAAAAUUAGAGUGUUUAAAGCAAGCUAACGCUUGAAUACAUUAGCAUGGAAUAAUGGAAUAGGACGUUCGAUCCUAUUUUGUUGGUUUCUAGGAUUGACGUAAUGAUUAAUAGGGAUAGUUGGGGGCAUUAGUAUUCAAUUGUCAGAGGUGAAAUUCUUGGAUUUAUUGAAGACUAACUACUGCGAAAGCAUUUGCCAAGGAUGUUUUCAUUAAUCAAGAACGAAAGUUAGGGGAUCGAAGACGAUCAGAUACCGUCGUAGUCUUAACCAUAAACUAUGCCGACUAGGGAUCGGACGAUGUUAAUUUUUUAAUGACUCAUUCGGCGCCUUACG
rnacentral:rRNA from 1 species